GGAGGGUACAGCUCAGUGGUAGAGUGCAUGCCUAGCAUGCAUGAGGUCCUGGGUUCAAUCCCCAGCACCUCCA
rnacentral:tRNA from 1 species